GGUCAUAGUGUAAAAAAUCAGGGCAAUUCCCGAGAAAUACUUAAGGACCUCUAGCAAAAAGUAGGUCAUUGACCUAGUUGUUUGAAUUUAAAUUUAAUACAAGAAUCAUAGAUGCUCGGUGUAAAAAAAGAUUUUUUUUUCUUAUCAAUGGAAUAUUUAGUCAUUUGAGUAAAGGUAUACUUUAACGUCCCUCUCGAAAAUUUAAAUUAUAACUUAAAUAUCUAUUCUAGCUCUCCCUCAGUAGCGGCUAGGUUACAUGUGGCGCUCCCUUCAAGAGCGUACAGAUUGACGUUGCGUCUACGUACGAGUUAUGUUGUUGAACGCACCCCUGAGUUUCUUUACUGUAAAGUCAACGUUCGAUGUGUUUUGAUAUUUUUAAGGAAUAUUCACAAAAUCUGGGUUAAAUAAAAUGUAGGAUUUGUGUAAAAAGUCUGUAAAUGCAUUUAUUUAAAUAUCCAUUCUAGAAUUUAAUUGUGAUCGCUAGGCAAAGGUAAUAUUGAUAGACAAAUCUUUUUCUAAUCAAAUAAUAAUUUAACAAAUAUGAUGGAAAGCCGGUUGGGGGACUCAAAUAUAUCAUAAAAGUGUUUAUUUAUUGAAUCAACAGAUACUGUCAACAGGCCUCAUUCCAAAAGAAGAUGUUCAUGGCAGAAAAAUCAUCGAAUCUUCCAAACAAAUAUUAUUGAUUUCAGUUAAGUGUGCAGUGUUGCAUUACGUCACGAUAUUUUUCGACAGAUGCAUCCAGCAUAAAUAAUUUGCACCCCGCUGUGUGAUUAGUCAUUAUCAACAGCGACACGGAUAUUGUUGCACGAACAACCAAUCAGGGUUAAGAAGAAAGUUCCAGUCAUAAAGCGUGCGGUAAGGAGGCGUGUACUAUUUACCUUGAGCGCAGCUUUCAUCAUACAUGCAAGUUGUGAUGUAAUGCAAAACUGCACUCUUUACUGAAAUUGAUAAUAAUGAUUUCAAUAUGAUGCUGGUCUGGAAGGGUACAGGCAUUGAAGUGAUGACAGAUUUAACGUCACCUAUUCUACUGUGUACAGAUGCUUCAUGCGGACUCAUGCUCUACAAUGCCUGUCUUCAGAGACAAUUAAGUGACCUACUGGUUAGUGCCUUUGUGAGUGUGUGUGUGUAGCUAAAGGUGAGCUAAGGCAAAUGAAGUCAUGGAAGGUUCGAGUUUUAGAGGCUGUCGACGGAUGUCACAUAAAGAUAACAGCUCCAUAAGAAAAAUUUCAUCUGCUUCUCUUUCUAUAGCUAAUCUCUGCAUUUCCAUUUCCUGUCUCUUCUAUCCUUUCCAUACGCUCAUCUCCUUCAAAUGCAGAGACAUAUUUCCACAAUUCAUUCUCGUUGUAGUCGGUGUCGAUGUUGUCGAUGUAAACUUUUGACAUUUUCAUUAUCUCAAGAACCACUGGGCUUAUUAUAACCCAACUGGCCACAAAGUAUCCUUGGGUGAAGGGGAUCGAUUCAAGUUUGUUCAAAUGAAGAGCCACGCCCUCUUCCAAGGGGAGCACACUCUAGAUGUGAUCGAUCAACAGGGGAUGCUUGCUCCUCCAUGGCACAUGAAACUUCCUCAGAUGUUUCAAAGAGUAUAAAUAGCGCGUAAGGCAGCCAUUUGCAUUACGCAUGUUUGACACCAGCGUCUUAUUCGUGUCCAGUUAAAGGAGCAGGUAUCUAAAGCAUCAGAAGUGGGAUAAGGUGCCAUGGAAAAAGUAACAUUCCUAUCGAUCGGUCCCUCUUGCCGUGUGCUCCUUAUAAUAAUCGGAUGAUAAGG